rnacentral:rRNA from 1 species
UGGGGAAUAUUGCGCUAAUGCGCGAAAGCGUGACGCAGCGACGCCGCGUGGGGGAUGAAGGCCCUCGGGUCGUAAACCCCUUUCGGCAGGGACGAAGCGAAAGUGACGGUACCUGCAGAAGAAGCCCCGGCUAACUACGUGCCAGCAGCCGCGGUAACACGUAGGGGGCGAGCGUUGUCCGGAUUCAUUGGGCGUAAAGCGCGCGUAGGCGGCCCGGAAAGUCGGAUGUGAAAUCCCGGGGCUCAACCCCGGGCCUGCAUCCGAUACUUCCGGGCUCGAGGCAGGUAGGGGAGAUCGGAAUUCCUGGUGUAGCGGUGAAAUGCGCAGAUAUCAGGAGGAACACCGGUGGCGAAGGCGGAUCUCUGGGCCUUGCCUGACGCUGAGGCGCGAAAGCUAGGGGAGCGAACAGG